UAUGUGAUCGUCUCUCGCAUAUCAAUAAGCGGAGGAAAAGAAACUAACAAGGAUUCCCCUAGUAACGGCGAGUGAAGCGGGAAGAGCUCAAAUUUGAAAUCUUAAAGGGUUUCCCUUUACGAAUUGUAGUUUAAAGAAGUGUUUUCUGUUGAGGUUUUGGUAAAAGUUCUUUGGAAUAGGACAUCAUAGAGGGUGAGAAUCCCGUAUUUGACCUUUACUUUCAACUUUGUGAUACACUUUCAAAGAGUCGGAUUGUUUGGGAAUGCAGUCCAAAAUGGGUGGUAAAUUUCAUCUAAAGCUAAAUAUUGGCGAGAGACCGAUAGCGAACAAGUACCGUGAGGGAAAGAUGAGAAGAACUUUGAAAAGAGAGUUAAACAGUACGUGAAAUUGUCAAAAGGGAAGCGUUUGACACCAGUGUUGUUUUUCUGAAAAUCAAUUAAAGAACUGUUUAUGCUAAGUUGUUUAGACUUUAUCAGCUAUCUGUUUAGUUUUGAGCUUUUCUUUAAUGCACUUUUCAGUUAACAAGUCAACAUCAAUUUCUUUUGCUGUAAAAAAGCUUGAGGAAGGUGGCUUGAGAUUCGUCUUAAGUGUUUAUAGCCUCUUGCCUAUGCAGUCGGAGAGAUUGAGGUCUGCAGCGUAGAUCCUUCGGGGCUAAAUGCAUUUGUGCUAAGUUAUAGCAUUUUAUAGACAACUUGUUGACUAUGAUUUGUCUUGUAGCUUACUCGCUUAUGUUAUUUUACCUACGCUUAGGAUGUUGACACACGCGCGUGCUCG
rnacentral:rRNA from 1 species